UGAAAGUAUAAAUAAUGAGAGGAACCAUCACAAAAUGAACAAUGGAGCAUUAAAUGUUGACUGCUAGUGUGUACAUUACUAUAAUUUUAGGAGUGGUAUAUAUAAGAAUAGCUGUUCUAUAACCUUAAUUUUGGUGAGGGCUCGUUUGGGGAUGUGGCAACAUGUGAGUUUGUAAUUGUAACCUGUGUCUAUAAGGAGUACAAUAGAUUACUGGAAGCUAUGUGUGUUUAAAGUGCCAUUUGAUUAAUUAACUCCAUUUUGCUUUCCAUUGCUUAGGAAUCUCCCACUGUUGCAAUCCAUACAUGGCCAUUGUAAAGAUGUUUCAUCAACGUCGAAGAAAAAUAUCUGAGGUUGGAAAAAUAAUUCCAGUGUUGUUGCAGUCAAACUUGAGCCUUACACAAUUGUGGAUGAGACCUAAAAUUUACACAGUUGUUCCUGCACCUUGAUAACAAUUGAAAAUUGUGCACAAUUCUUUUGGCACAUCUAUACUGUCUAUUGAUCAGGCCAUUGUGGGUACUGCAGAGCUAUUGCCUGGUUCAUAGGUGGCUGAAGCUCCAUUGUUCCCCGGUAUCAACAAGUGCAACUGUGCCCAAUUUGAAACAGGAAGUAUGCCGAGAAGAUCCUUUUUGAUGUCUGCAGAGAAACCGGCUCAUAUCAAUGUAAUGUAUAACCACACAAUGAUGAUCUAUGAAAAGAUCUGAAAGAAUAAAGAAGACAUAUUGGUGAAUUAGGGGCGCUAGAGGCAAGAUGCAUUUUACAGUCAAAUGUUUUGGCACCAUAAUUCACACUGACUUCUAUUAAAAGUUAUGUAAAAAUGCUUCUGCAGCAGGGGUGACAAAUGUACCAUAUCACCCUUUUUGUCUGUCACUUCUCUGUACUGCUAUUUCUAACUCUUGAAACAAAGUUGCUGAAGUUAGCUGUUCCUCAGCCAAGACUGCAUUUCCUACAUUGACUGGUUAUUUCUACAUUGUUUCAAAAAGAGCAGUGCAGAAAAUGUAAGGGCCAGACAGCUUAUAUUGGAUGUUUAUAUGAUUUGAUAAGUCAAGACCUAUUAUUAUUAUUGUCAAUUUAAAGAGGAUAUCUUUCAAUGUCACCUCAAAAAUGUUGCUCUGACAUCAGACCACAUUGAUUUAUUCAAGUACACCAAGAAGACCUGUUACUCUCUCUUUGGGAUUCCCUUAAACAAAAGGCCUAAGGCUAGAAACUAGGCAAGAAAAGACACAAGGGACCAAGAGGACCACAACUAUAUAAUUUCAGAGCUUGUCCAUCACAAUAGAGUGAUUUCCAUGCUAGAGAGACAAAUGUAGGAUCCAUAAUGAUCAUUAACUUAUUGCUAUUAAAGUGUAUAAAAUAAUAGUGGUCUUCAAAAAGUGGUAUCUUUCUUCACAACAUUUGCAUGUGAGAGAGAGGUGAGUGAAGUCUUGUUUUAUUUCUUAUUGAAGUGUUUUUCAUCUUCUUCAAUUUCUGUGGCAGAUGCAAGGAGCUAGUCAUAGCUAGUCAUUAUGACUAAGCGCCGGAGGGUGCGAAACGCGUAAGGUGGGCUAU